CUUUCGUGUAGUUGUAGGUUUCUGUAUCCAACGUUUGACCGUCAGUUCUAUUUGAAACUUUUUUAUGAUUAGUAUUUUUAUUGUUAUUCGGUACAUGAGUUAUUUUGUAAUUUUUUUAUAAAUUUUUUAAAUAAGACGGAUGGUUAAACAUUACACAUAGAAACCCACAACUGCGCUUAAA
rfam:Oryza meridionalis cultivar OR44 (W2112) chromosome 1, whole genome shotgun sequence.